GCUGGGCAAGGCAGCGCAUGCCUGUAAUCCCAGUGGCUCAGGAGGCUGAGGCAGGAGGAUCGCAAGUUCAAAGCCAGCCUCAGCAAUUUAGCCAGGUCUUGAGCAACUUAGUGAGACCCUGACUCAA
rnacentral:sRNA from 1 species